rnacentral:tRNA from 1 species
GGGUAAUUAAACAACUACGGAGAUUGGCGAGACUGUAAAUCUCGUGGCUUUUGCAUCGAGUGGGUUCGACUCCCUCAUUACCCA